rnacentral:tRNA from 1 species
UGGAAUGUAGCUCAGUGGUCGAGGGCUUGCCUAGCAGGUGCCAAGUCCUGAAUUCAAUCCCCAGCAAUGCAA